UACGGAAGGCAGCAGUGGGGAAUAUUGCACAAUGGGCGCAAGCCUGAUGCAGCCAUGCCGCGUGUAUGAAGAAGGCCUUCGGGUUGUAAAGUACUUUCAGUCGUGAGGAAGGUGUUAAGGUUAAUAACCUUAGCAAUUGACGUUAGCGACAGAAGAAGCACCGGCUAACUCCGUGCCAGCAGCCGCGGUAAUACGGAGGGUGCGAGCGUUAAUCGGAAUUACUGGGCGUAAAGGGCACGCAGGCGGUUAAUUAAGUUGGAUGUGAAUCCCCGGGCUUAACCUGGGAAUGGCAUUCAAGACUGGUUAGCUAGAGUCUUGUAGAGGGGGUAGAAUUCCGAUGUGUAGCGGUGAAAUGCGUAGAGAUGUGGAGGAAUACCGGUGGCGAAGGCGGCCCCUGGACAAGACUGACGCUCAUGUGCGAAAGCGUGGGGAGCGAAACAGGAUUAGAUACC
rnacentral:rRNA from 1 species